UGUUGAGCACUCACAAUGCCCUGGGAACUGUACUAAGUGCUUCCUGUACAUCGUUUUGAUCAUCUUCCCACGUCUUUGGGACGUAAACCAUCACAACAGUGCUCUAUGCCAGAGGAGCAGCAGUCCUGAUCAAGACAAGGCCGUCAGCCUCCAGGAAGGUCCUCCACGCAGCACGUACCUUAAACAGUAAGAUGCUUGCCUGAGCUGUUUUCAGGAACCUGGAGUCAGCUGUGUCUAGUUGGAGCUGAGCUGGUUAAGACUGGAUAGGACCACUGACCCUCCAACUGGACAUGCAGAAAUCCUGCACAGAGGAGAGCAAGGCCUUAGAAUGUAAUGAAACAGAUUCCUGAUGACACCACUUGACCCAGCCAUGCCA